rnacentral:lncRNA from 1 species
GUAGAAAGUCCCUCCACGGUACGAACAUGGUGCAGUCAGUAACUAUGGCUGUCAGUGACUUGUUGUACAUGUAAGACUGAGAUGGGCUUAUUAUUCAAAGACGGGAGAGUUCUGCCAGAUGUGGAAUACUGCGGUGUAGAUUACGAUCUCCAUCACCAAGGUGUCCAGCUUUGUGAAGCGGGGUUUCCUCCCACCGUUCAAAGGCUAUGCCCUAAGAUACACUGGAAUCCCAUCCACAGAGUUCUACGCCCCACGGCCUAUAUUUCCAGGAUGGGCUCCAGACCACCAUGAUCCUGCAUUGUGGUUAUUAAUAAGACCGUGAGGGAUCAACGCACCCUACGCGCCCUCUACCCACACGUAAGGAAAAGUGUUUGCUGUGACAGUGACAUGGAUGCUGCUUGGAGAGGACAGGUGCACAGAUGCACCAGUGAGAAUGCACUCAGGGAUGUUUGAAGGUAUAGCCUCGAGCAUUUAUUCUCCUUAUUCUCCCCGCGUCCUGCUGACGCGGGCCGGCUCCACCCUGAGACACAAGACCACUCGGUCGAGGGUCCUUCAACUGCAUUGCUCUCCAUCGAAGGAGAGGAAGACUAUCCUGAUUCAGCAAAGGGAAACCGAACGCACUUGA